GCCUGGGUGGCUCAGUUGGUUGAGCGUACGACUUCGGCUCAGGACAUGAUCUCACAGCUCGUGAGUUCAAGUCCCGCUUCGGGCU
rnacentral:tRNA from 1 species